GGUAAUAUGGUAUAGUGGUUUGAGCGUUGGGCUACAACUCUGAAGUUCAGGGUUCGAAUCCUUGCUCAGCCA